UUCACCCGAAUGCAUCUCUCGUGGAAAAACAUUCGUCAUCGUUGAAACUGAUAUAAUUAACUAAAAGCUGGGCUCUACCAGUGGCACAGCUUUUUCCCUCCUUCGUUUCUCCUCCUCCUCCUCCUCCUCCUCCUCUAAAACCACUACCACCAUGAAACGGACCAGCCCGACGCGACGGCCGUCUACGUCUCGUUUCUUUACAGAAGCCUCGGUCGAACAAAGAACCACGAGAAGAGAUAUUAAAAGAUUUCUGCCGGGACCUCUCAUUUCCGCGACGAAUGGAAUUCAAUGGGUUCCGUAAACGAGGAAGUGGUUUUUAAAUUUAAUAACCGAUGUUUUACCACGAGUGUAAUUACAUUAGGCGAUCUCUCGAUACCCGGCAAACAGCUCUCGCGCCUUCUCCCUCCCAAAAAAGCGUAAAAACCAGGCCACCGAUUUCUCCUCCUGCGAUUCCUAUAUUUCCCGAGACGUAUAAAAGACGAAUUGAGAUUUCUGUCUUCCGUCGCAAGGGUGGUAUUGAGAGUCAACGACAAAUUUUUUAGAACUCUCGCAAAUUCGUUUGAACGCGUACGAAUAUACCAUCGACUCGAAUAGUAUAUUCCGCCGAAGACAGAACAAUCGAUGCGAUUAUCUUGUAUUCGUUCCAUCGUAUCUUAAAGCGAGAACAUUUCAAUUUCGCUGUAUCCUCGCCGGUUGACGAGACGGACAGAGUAAAAUUCGAUCAAAGCGGCUCCGUUACUUUCGAACGAUUCGCUAUCUCCACGGUCUAGAGAUAAAUACGUCGCAGGCGUUCAGCUUAAUCUCGAUCGCGACACGAAGUUACAAUCGAUGGGUCGAAAGAUCGGCGACUCGCGUCUCCAGGGGAGGGUUAAUCGAUAUCAAUGGUAGUAGUAUUGGUAACCCCGAUUCGCGUCCAGGUGUUGUGCAUGACUGUACUCACGGCAAGAUGGCGACCGGUCCUCGAGCACCCGUUUCCGCGCUCCCUGCAGGAUACCACUCCACCCUUCUCCUCUCUCGUUCUCUCUUUCUCUUUCUCUUUUUCUUUCUACUUCUCCUUCUCACCCGCUCUCUCUCUCGCUCUCUCGCUCUCUCUCUCUCUCUCUCUCUGCCCCGUCUUUUUCUUUCUCUUUCCUUUUCUCGUGUUCGCUCGCUCGCGCUGCCACUUGAAAUUUUUUUACCGCCGCGAGGGGAGGAAAUGGAAUAAAACGAAAGAAAGGGGAAAAAGGGGGAAAAAAUCGGAGCUCUGGCUGCCAACUCGUCGUCAACGUCGACGACGACGUUACCGUCGUAACUGCUACGUCUCCGUCGCAUGGUGUUUUAAACUCCGUAAAUGAUUAAUUCUAUUCGCUGUUGACAAUUUUCCUAUGUGCUAACAAAUAUUCGUAAGUAAUUUCUGCUAAUUUGAAAAUUACAGAUUUCCCGUCUGAUCCCUUCGAACUUGCAACAAAUCCUAUGGUAAUUUUUUGGAAGGAAUACUCUGAUAGUCGGAAAACAAUGACAAUAAGAAGGAAGGGAUGACAUAAAUGGCUCGUAAGAAGAAAUUAAUCGCGAGAAAUGGUGGAAACGGCGACGGUCGCUCAACGAAGCGAAACAGCUGCUCUAUCGUGGGACGUACUCGGCGAGAGAAAGCUCUGUUUACGCGAAAGAUCUAGUUUCUCUAUUAAGAAAACUAUCUAUGGGAGGUAUCGCUAUUGUACGAAACGCUAAUAAUACCGUAACUGCCACGCCCAAUGCGUAUGUUGCAAUUUCGCGUCGUGGUGUGCACGCGAUUCUGGUCAUCCAAUUACACGUAUCAUCGAGCAGAUCGAGAUAAUAGAAUGAAAAUGCCGUACGGAGAACGAGGAGAAAUAGUAAACGCGGUAUUGAAUUGAAAUAGAGAUUACGGUACCUUCGCUGUUAUGGAAAAAUAGAGAAAGAUAGGACGAGUCGCCACGCUAUAGAAGAAGAGAAAGAAGCGAGAAAAAAAGAUAGGGAAUACGAUACAGAGAUGAAUGGAAACAGAGUCUACGGGGACCACGAAAAACUAACGAGUAAAUUAUGGGGCGGCUGCUCGUCCUAGCGUGGACGAAUCGAGGGGAAAGGACGGUUUACAGAUCGGGCCACCGGAUAACUUUCAGCACCAUUAAUGUUCUAUGGGUGUUUACGAGCCGCCGCUUGGCGGCGACUACGUCGACCCUACUUAGGGACAAGAUCGAUCGCGAUCUAAAUACGUAACUCUGUUUGUUACGCGCUUGAACAUCGAAAUUGAAAUUGAUACACUGUGCGAGUGUUGUUCGGGAAACUACCUGUCACACACGAACGACGUUCUAAGAGAUGGAUCGCGUGGACGAAGAGCAAAAGUUAUCUAAAGGUGAUUUUAAAUCUAAGGUAGUAUAUAUAUAUAUAUAAAGAUCGAAAUUUGAGAUCCAAUAUGAGAGCAGAUGGCCGUCGCGUCGCAAAGCUGGAUAUGCCGCGUACACGAUAAUAACACGAUAUCGAGGACGGAUCGAAACACAGAGAAUGACUUUGAUCCCCGUCACCCGCGAAAGUGGUUUUGCACGAAAAUCGCUCGACGCGUAUGCUCGUUGCCAUCGAAAUUCGAUGAAACGGUGAAAGUCGACGGUGACCGAAAAAAGCGCUAUGAAAAUCCGCUUACGUCGAAACGCCAUUCCGCUUGGAGUGUAGCUCGUGUUGGUACAGGUAUUCUUUAAAAAAAUAUUUUUAGCACGAACGAAACACACCGGUGUGGAGGAAUAGGGAAAAAGGAAACGUUAACGAAGUAGCUGGAUAGAAACGACUAAAAAACAUUUCCAAGAAGCGUGUUACACGUUCCGUGACCGUGCAAGAAAUUCAUUUUGAAGCGCAAAAAACCGACGGAGAACAAAUAAUCGACGUCAUGUUGACACGAAAAUGAUUUUCAGCGUGAGCGAAACGACACGACACGCCGAUUCCCGCUAACUCGAAUCGGACGAUUUGCCGCUAAUGCAUGCCGGGACAUCCGUGAUCUCGCAUACUCGUUCGUACCCGGCUGUAAUGUAUUCAUCAGGACGGAUCUGCGUGUAUCGGCACGAUCGCCGUCUUCUGACAUCUCUUUUGAAUGUUAUUGCAGAGGAGGAGAGGCAGCCGCUGCACAGACGAUUCGUAUUCGUCGGUGCGUGCGACGAGAUGGAGACAGGGCACGUUUUGAACUUGCAAUUACGAUAUCUCGGGAAUCUGGCGCGUCAUUAUUAGAACCGAUAAAAGAAGGGAGAAGAGAGGAAAGGGAAGGGUAGAGAAGGGAGAUUUCUAUGGGAGCGAAAUAAUAUUGUCGGAUUCGUGCGCUUUCGAAAUCCAUAACUUGGAAACUAUCUUUGUCCGUUAUAGGCAGAAUUUAAUGGAUCGAAAUUACGUUUUUCUCAUCGCCGUGAUUUUACGUAUAGACUUAUGUACGCGUUAUAUUAAACCUUCUCAGGCAACGACAUUAACGUAGAUGUACUGAUAUUCUGCAGUUAUCUCACCUAGGUUUCGAACGUUGUAAUUUGCUUACCAUUCUAUGUACAUGGUCGGUAUUACUGGUCGAUGAAUCGCGAGCUCGACGAAACUCAAACGGAAUUCUGUCGCUCGUUAGACGAUGAAAAACGUUAAAAAACGUAACAAGAUACACACGGAAAAGGACGGAGGAUAACAAAAACAAAGAAAUAGAGGGAGGUCGGUAUUCCUGCAAAAAUUUCGGCUGGAAUAACGAAAUGAAUGCAGAAUCGCUUCGAGUCGGUCGAGUGGCCCACUCGAAACGAAAUACGAUGUGGAUGCGAGGAUCCGCGCCGCGUCCGGAAUAUUUUUCAUUUAAAAGCAUUUCAUUUCGAAACGCUCGAUAUUUUGUCGUGUGUCUCGCCGUUUCGAAAUCCCUCGGGAAAUCCGAUCUAUCGAGGACGCGUAUUAUUAUCACACGAGAAACGGUCGAACGACAGAGUUUAAUUUAAUCCUUGACCCCUCUCUCUGCCUUCCUUCUCUUUUUUACUCUGUCUUUUUCUAGAAAUGUCUUUCUUCGACAAUUUUGCAAUUUUGUUCGCGCGACUCGUUCGAUGUAUUCGGACUAAUAUCUUUAUAUCUCUUUUUUUAACAGGUAGUUACCUGAUUU